CGUGAUCGGGUAGGAUAAGCCUGCUAGUCGUGCGCCUUCUAGCCUGAUGGAGGCGCGGCACACAGCUCAGUAGCACGUGGCUAACCUGCCCUUGGGACGGAAGCACCCCCGGGAAACUGGGGCUAAUUUCUGAUAGGUGAAGGCUUCUGGAAUGGACUUUCGCCUAAAGGACGCUUAGAUCAUGCUUCUAGGCGUUGCCCAAGGAUGGGGCCGCGGCCGAUCAGGUUGUUGGUGAGGUAAUGGCUCACCAAGCCUAUAACCGGUGCGGGCCGUGAGAGCGGGAGCCCGGAGAUGGGCACUGAGACAAGGGCCCAGGCCCUACGGGGCGCAACAGGCGCGAAAACUUCGCAAUAAGCGAAAGCUUGACGGGGCUAUCCCGAGUGCCAUCCGCUGAGGAUGGCUUUUCUCUAGUAUAGAUAGCUGGGGGAAUAAGGAGAGGGCAAGUCUGGUGUCAGCCGCCGCGGUAAUACCAGCUCUCCGAGUGGUGUGGACGAUUAUUGGGCCUAAAGCAUCCGUAGCCGGCUGAGCAAGUCCCCUGUUAAACCCAACGAUUCAAUCGUUGGCUCGCGGGGGAUACUGCUCGGCUAGGGGGCGAGAGAGGCCGUCGGUAUUCCCGGGGUAGGGGUGAAAUCCUAUAAUCCCGGGAGGACCACCAGUGGCGAAGGCUGUCGGCUAGAACGCGCUCGACGGUGAGGGAUGAAAGCUGGGGGAGCGAACCGGAUUAGAUACCCGGGUAGUCCCAGCUGUAAACGAUGCAGGCUAGGUGUUAGGGCGGCCACGUGCCGCUCUAGUGCCGCAGGGAAGCUGUUAAGCCUGCCGCCUGGGAGUACGGCCGCAAGGCUGAAACUUAAAG
rnacentral:rRNA from 1 species